rnacentral:rRNA from 1 species
GAUGAACGCUGGCGGCGUGCUUAACACAUGCAAGUCGAACGAUGAAGCCCAGCUUGCUGGGUGGAUUAGUGGCGAACGGGUGAGUAACACGUGAGUAACCUGCCCUUAACUCUGGGAUAAGCCUGGGAAACUGGGUCUAAUACCGGAUAGGAGCGCCUACCGCAUGGUGGGUGUUGGAAAGAUUUAUCGGUUUUGGAUGGACUCGCGGCCUAUCAGCUUGUUGGUGAGGUAAUGGCUCACCAAGGCGACGACGGGUAGCCGGCCUGAGAGGGUGACCGGCCACACUGGGACUGAGACACGGCCCAGACUCCUACGGGAGGCAGCAGUGGGGAAUAUUGCGCAAUGGGCGAAAGCCUGAUGCAGCGACGCCGCGUGAGGGAUGACGGCCUUCGGGUUGUAAACCUCUUUCAGUAGGGAAGAAGCGAAAGUGACGGUACCUGCAGAAGAAGCACCGGCUAACUACGUG